GACGAAGGAUGCAAGCGUUAUCCGGAUUCAUUGGGUUUAAAGGGUGCGUAGGAGGGCAGGUAAGUCAGUGGUGAAAUCUCCAAGCUUAACUUGGAAACUGCCGUUGAUACUAUCUGUCUUGAAUAUUGUGGAGGUGAGCGGAAUAUGUCAUGUAGCGGUGAAAUGCUUAGAUAUGACAUAGAACACCAAUUGCGAAGGCAGCUCACUACACAAUCAUUGACUCUGAGGCACGAAAGCGUGGGGAUCAAACAGG
rnacentral:rRNA from 1 species